GGUCGGGAACUCAAAGGAGACUGCCAGUGAUAAACUGGAGGAAGGUGGGGAUGACGUCAAGUCAUCAUGGCCCUUACGACCAGGGCUACACACGUGCUACAAUGGCGCAUACAAAGAGAAGCGACCUCGCGAGAGCAAGCGGACCUCAUAAAGUGCGUCGUAGUCCGGAUUGGAGUCUGCAACUCGACUCCAUGAAGUCGGAAUCGCUAGUAAUCGUGGAUCAGAAUGCCACGGUGAAUACGUUCCCGGGCCUUGUACACACCGCCCGUCACACCAUGGGAGUGGGUUGCAAAAGAAGUAGGUAGCU
rnacentral:rRNA from 1 species